GGAGGCAGCAGUGGGGAAUAUUGGACAAUGGGCGAAAGCCUGAUCCAGCCAUGCCGCGUGUGUGAAGAAGGUCUUCGGAUUGUAAAGCACUUUAAGUUGGGAGGAAGGGCAGUAAGUUAAUACCUUGCUGUUUUGACGUUACCGACAGAAUAAGCACCGGCUACACUCUGUGCCAGCAGCCGCGGUA
rnacentral:rRNA from 1 species